GAACGGUCUUGGUACUAAAAUCAGAGUUACGAGUAUCAGUCCUGGAUUGGUAGCUACAGAGCUAACUACUUUAGGUACAAAGUUACCAUCAGACGUUAGAGAGGAAUUUAAUAAACGAGCUAUUAUGAAAGGCGAAGAUAUUGCUGACGGCGUUGUAUACGUUUUGUCAACGCCAGGGCAUGUUCAAGUUCACGAACUAACGAUAAAACCGUUUUAGCAGCAAAAACCUCCAAACAUUAUGUUAGUUUACCUUCGGUAUUGUAUAACUGCAUAGAUAGUCGUUCUCUUAUCAAUAGCUAACGCCAUAGAAAAUAUUGACAAUUGG